GAUGAACGCUGGCGGCGUGCUUAACACAUGCAAGUCGAACGGAAAGGCUCCUGCUUGCAGGGGUACUCGAGUGGCGAACGGGUGAGUAACACGUGGGUGAUCUGCCCUGCACUUCGGGAUAAGCCUGGGAAACUGGGUCUAAUACCGGAUAGGACGGUGGGUUGGAUGCCAUUGUGGAAAGUUUUUCGGUGUGGGAUGGGCUCGCGGCCUAUCAGCUUGUUGGUGGGGUAAUGGCCUACCAAGGCGUCGACGGGUAGCCGGCCUGAGAGGGUGUACGGCCACAUUGGUACUGAGAUACGGCCCAGACUCCUACGGGAGGCAGCGGUGGGGAAUAUUGCACAAUGGGCGCAAGCCUGAUGCAGCGACGCCGCGUGGGGGAUGACGGCCUUCGGGUUGUAAACUCCUUUCGCUAGGGACGAAGCGCAAGUGACGUUACCUGGAGAAGAAGCACCGGCUAACUACGUG
rnacentral:rRNA from 1 species